GGGGGGGGGGGCUACAGUUAGAUAAUAUUCUGGUCAGCACAUUCGAUAAACUACAUGGAAUUCAUUAAAUCACUUCUUUUUCUUUCAGUGGUCUUCAACUUUUAAUCUCCAAGAAGGAAAUGUAAUUAAAAGAUGAAUAAAGUAUCCCUAAGAAUACCAGAAGAAAGGCCAUGUGUUGAGAAAAACAGCCCUUCCUCAGUACCUCAGAACUAGAUGACAGCCCUUAAUUGUUACUUUAUGCUGAAUAUGACACAGUAUAGAAGAUCUGAUCAUGAAGAAGUAACACCAUUGAUACACUUGCCAACUGCCAAAAUUACUUUCUGAUAGUAUGACGAGAUUAGAAGAUAUCAUGGUGUAGUCAUGACACAAACUGCAAAUCAAAGAAUUAAUUGUCUUCCCCAGAGGAUGAACAGAGCACGAUGGCUUCACAUGGAUAACAUUUCCUUUCGAGUUUUGAAAUUAAUUUGUCAGAAUGUUAUGCAUCGUUAUCAACAGAAAAGAACUUCAUAGGUAGACCAAAGCUGACAUGGGAUGAGAUCCUAGAACAAGACCUAGAGUUUACAGGAUUGGAUAGGAUCAAUCCACUGGGUCGCCAAGUGUGGAAGUACAAACUUCAACCUCGACAGGACAGCCAGGCCUCACCCUUGCAAAAAGAUUAAUUUGGCCUGGAUAGUCAAAAUGAGUGAUGAUGAUUGAUAUCAAGGUCUGACACUGGAAGCUCAGUAAGGGUAGAUGCUGGCAAUGGAGCUGUUUAGCAAUAAAACAAACAAGUUUAACAUUAAACAUGUUUGUAUACUUUUUUGGCUCACCUGAGCCAAAGGCUCAAGUAAGCUUUUCUGAUCACCUUUGCCUGUCGUCUGUCUGUUUAUAAACUUUUCACAUUUUCAUUUUCUUCUCCAGAGUGAACCACUGGGCCAGUUUCAAUCAAACUUGGUAUGCAUCAUCAAUAGAUAAAGGGUAUUCAAGUUUGUUCAUAUAAAGGGUCAUGCACCCUUCAAAAAGGAAAUAAUCAUGGAAAUGCAAAAAUAGGGUGGGGUCAUUUAAAAAACCUUUUCAAGAACCACUGGACCAGGAAAGUUGAAUUCACACGAAAGGUUCCUGUUUUGUGCAAAUCAUGGUCUCUGGGGGUAGGGUGGGGUCACAAUAGAGAAUCAACGUUUUACAUUCAUAUAUAGUGCAUAUUCAAGUUUGUAAAAAGCUCACAGGGGUAGGGUGGGGGUCACAAUAGGGGAUUUAAGUUUUACAUGUGAAAUAUAUACAAGGAAAAUCUUUUAAAAUCUUCUCCUCAAAAACUAGAUGCAGAACCGUAGCUCUUUGAAAAGAGAGCUUCAGAUGAACCCCUUAUAAAAAAAACUUCAAUUUAUGGCAGAGAAAAAAAGUGCAUGUUUAAGUCCCUCUAUCACUGCAUUCCUGCAUCGCUGUCUCAUGAAUUUAAUAUUAAAUAAUUCCCAACAUAUUUUCCCACUAUACUUGUUUCCAAACAUACUUUCAAAUAUUUUCUAAACCCACAUAUAAC